rnacentral:tRNA from 1 species
UGCCCUGUAGCUCAACGGAAGAGCAUCGGUCUUCUAAACCGACGCGUGCGGGUUCGAAUCCCACCGGGGCGA